AUCUAGCUGACGAGUCUGGAAUAGGAUGAAACGCGCGUUAAACUGGAU
rnacentral:hammerhead_ribozyme from 1 species